CNUGCAGUCGACGCUUUGUGGUUCAACUGAUUUGAAGAGCUUGCUCAGAUAUGACGAUGGACAUUGCAAAGAGUGGCGAACGGGUGAGUAACACGUGGGAAACCUACCUCUUAGCAGGGGAUAACAUUUGGAAACAGAUGCUAAUACCGUAUAACAAUGACAACCGCAUGGUUGUUAUUUAAAAGAUGGUUCUGCUAUCACUAAGAGAUGGUCCCGCGGUGCAUUAGCUAGUUGGUAAGGUAAUGGCUUACCAAGGCGAUGAUGCAUAGCCGAGUUGAGAGACUGAUCGGCCACAAUGGGACUGAGACACGGCCCAUACUCCUACGGGAGGCAGCAGUAGGGAAUCUUCCACAAUGGGCGAAAGCCUGAUGGAGCAACGCCGCGUGUGUGAUGAAGGGUUUCGGCUCGUAAAACACUGUUGUAAGAGAAGAAUGACAUUGAGAGUAACUGUUCAAUGUGUGACGGUAUCUUACCAGAAAGGAACGGCUAAAUACGUGCCAGCAGCCGGCGGU
rnacentral:rRNA from 1 species